GGCGGGGCUCCGGCUUGGCUGGGGUCUGGGACAGAGAGGGAUCUUUUCCUUGUGAUCUGAGCCAGGACAAUACAGGGUCAGCUUCCCUUAGCUUGCCCUUGGCCUGACCCACCUUUCAGGGUCCUCGUCUCUGUACUCCAGCCCCCAGCAUCUUGGUCAGGUGGUCACAGAUCCUGCGAAGGUGACCGAGUGACCACACAGAAACGAAGCCAUCAGAAAGAUUCUGAAAGAAGUUGUUAUUGUGUAGGAUCUGGGCUUGAACUUGGCCUGGCCUUGGCUUUUUCAAUCCUGGUACUCUGUGCCUUGAGAUGCAGUGCCACUUUCUGGCUCGUUAGUCAAAGGUAAGUCUCCAGGCUGGCUUCAAACCACGAUCCUUAGACCUCAGCCUCCUGCGUGGCUGGGAUUACAGGCAUAGCCGCCAGUGCGUGGCUUCAUGAGAAGGUUUUGGAUACAGGUCCCCUAAAGAAGGAGCACAGCAGGCCAUCCCUGCUGUGUGAACCCAGAGGUGCAGGAUGCGCUGGCUGGGGAGUCAGCUGGAAGGGAGCAGCCUUUCUGGGUGCUGAGGACAUGCAAGUCCCGUGGGGAGCUGGGAGGAUCAUUUGGUUUCACCAUACUGAGUGGCUGCCUUGCCAGGAUGGUGUUAGAACUCAUCUGGCCCUGAUUCAGCAGACCGGCAGAGGAAUACAGUGGCUCCUGCCUGCACACUCCAGAGGCAAAGGCAGGAGGAUCAGAAGUUGAAGGCUAGCCUGGACUCCAUAGUGAGAUGCUGUCUUCUACAAAGCAAACUGCAUUUCUCCAUGUCAGAUGUCAACAAGGCUACACUCCUUGUUUUUGGGAGCAUUCUAAAUUGCCUCAGCCAUUUUUCUCCCCAAGAGUCUCUCCAUGUAGUCCAGGCUGGCCAGGAACUUGCUCUCCUCCUGCCUGCUUCCUGAGGGUGCAAUCACAGGUGUGUGUCACCAUGCCUGGCUUGCUACUUCAUAGGUGACAUCUGGAUAUGUGACCAGUAAUGACUCCCUGGUGAUGAUCUUUCAGCUCACUGACAGGAGCCAGUACUUGCCAUCCAACUU